ACGCUCGACACCUACGGGGGCAGCAGUAGGGAAGUUUUCGUCAAUGGGGGAACCCUGAACGAGCAAUGCCGCGUGAGUGAAGAAGGUCUUCGGAUCGUAAAGUCUCUGUUAGUAAGAGAAAAAGGGCGUCAUAAUAGGAAAUGAUAUGCGAUUUGUAUGGUAUCUUACCAGAAAGCCACGGCUAACUACGUGCCAGCAGCCGCGGUAAUCUGAGGCGGGCUGGCAAGGC
rnacentral:rRNA from 1 species